rnacentral:rRNA from 1 species
ACUCCUACGGGAGGCAGCAGUGGGGAAUAUUGCACAAUGGGGGAAACCCUGAUGCAGCCAUGCCGCGUGUGUGAAGAAGGCCUUCCGGGUUGGUAAAGCACUUUCAGUAGGGAGGAAGUAGUGUAGUUAACACCUGCACUAUUUGACGUUACCUACAGAAGAAGCACCGGCUAACUCCGUGCCAGCAGCCGCGGUAAUACGGAGGGUGCGAGCGUUAAUCGGAAUUACUGGGCGUAAAGCGCAUGCAGGCGGCCUGUUAAGUCAGAUGUGAAAGCCCGGGGCUUAACCUCGGAAUUGCAUUUGAAACUGGCAGGCUAGAGUCUUGUAGAGGGGGUAGAAUUUCAGGUGUAGCGGUGAAAGUGCGUAGAGAUCGUGAAGGAAAUACCAGUGGCGAAGGCGGCCCCCCUGGA